rnacentral:misc_RNA from 1 species
GAUGAAGAACGUAGUGAAAUGCGAUAAGUAAUGCGAAUUGCAGAAUUUCCGUGAGUCAUCGAAUCUUUGAACGCACAUUGCGCCCCCUGGUAUUCCGGGGGGCAUGCCUGUUCGAGCGUCAUUACAACCCUCAAGCUCUGCUUGGUAUUGGGCCCCGCCAGUUCUGGCGGGCCCUAAAGUCAGUGGCGGUGCCUUCCGGCUCCGAGCGUAGUAAUUCUUCUCGCUCUGGAGACCCGGUUGUGUGCUUGCCAACAACCCCCAAUUUUUUAAGGUUGACCUCGGAUCAGGUAGGGAUACCCGCUGAACUUAAGCAUAUCAAUAAGCGGAGGA